AUGAACGCUAGCGGCAGGCUUAACACAUGCAAGUCGAGGGGCAGCAUGAGACGGAGAUUCGUCGAAGUCUUGAUGGCGACCGGCGCAAGGGUGCGUAACGCGUGAGCAACUUGCCCGUUUCUGGGGAAUAACCGGUGGAAACGCCGACUAAUACCCCAUAGUAUUGAGUUUAGGCAUCUUUACUCAAUUAAAGAAUUUCGGAAACGGAUAGGCUCGCGUGACAUUAGCUUGAUGGCGGGGUAACGGCCCACCAUGGCAACGAUGUCUAGGGGUUCUGAGAGGAAGGUCCCCCACACUGGAACUGAGACACGGUCCAGACUCCUACGGGAGGCAGCAGUGAGGAAUAUUGGUCAAUGGUCUGACGACUGAACCAGCCAUGCCGCGUGAAGGUCACGGCCCUAUGGGUCUUAAACUUCUUUUGUAAGGGAGCAAUAAGUCUCACGUGUGGGAUGAUGAGAGUACCUUACGAAUAAGCAUCGGCUAACUCCGUG
rnacentral:rRNA from 1 species